rnacentral:rRNA from 1 species
UCAGGACGAACGCUGGCGGCGUGCCUAACACAUGCAAGUCGAACGGAGUUGAGGAGCUUGCUCCUUAACUUAGUGGCGGACGGGUGAGUAACGCGUGAGUAACCUGCCUCUGAGAGGGGAAUAACGUUCUGAAAAGAACGCUAAUACCGCAUGACACAUAUUUGCCGCAUGACAGAUAUGUCAAAGAUUUUAUCGCUCAGAGAUGGACUCGCGUCCGAUUAGUUAGUUGGUGAGGUAACGGCUCACCAAGACCGCGAUCGGUAGCCGGACUGAGAGGUUGAACGGCCACAUUGGGACUGAGACACGGCCCAGACUCCUACGGGAGGCAGCAGUGGGGGAUAUUGCGCAAUGGGGGCAACCCUGAACCGCAGCAACGCCGCGUGAAGGAUGAAGGUUUUCGGAUUGUAAACUUCUUUUCUCAGGGACGAAAUCUGACGGUACCUGAGGAAUAAGCUCCGGCUAACUACGUGCCAGCAGCCGC